rfam:Capsicum annuum cultivar Zunla-1 chromosome 5, whole genome shotgun sequence
UGAUGAUAAUGAGGACAAUUUCUGAGCAUGCCUUUGAAUCUCUCCUAGGUUUGGUAGAGAUUUUUUUCAUCUUUCUAUCUAAAACUCAAGAUCUCACUCCUCUAUCU